rnacentral:rRNA from 1 species
CCUACGGGUGGCUGCAGUGAGGAAUAUUGGUCAAUGGACGCGAGCCUGAACCAGCCAAGUAGCGUGAAGGAUGACUGCCCUAUGGGUUGUAAACUUCUUUUAUAAGGGAAUAAAACGUGCCACGUGUGCCAUUUUGUAUGUACCAUAUGAAUAAGGAUCGGCUAACUCCGUGCCAGCAGCCGCGGUAAUACGGAGGAUCCGAGCGUUAUCCGGAUUUAUUGGGUUUAAAGGGAGCGUAGAUGGGUUGUUAAGUCAGUUGUGAAAGUUUGCGGCUCAACCGUAAAAUUGCAGUUGAUACUGGCAGUCUUGAGUACAGUAGAGGUAGGCGGAAUGCGUGGUGUAGCGGUGAAAUGCUUAGAUAUCACGAAGAACUCCGAUUGCGAAGGCAGCUUACUAAACUGCCACUGACAUUGAUGCUCGAAAGUGUGGGUAUCAAACAGGAUUAGAUACCCGUGUAGUC